UUGUCUAAUAAAUAAUUAAUUAAUUUUUAAACGAUUGGAUUGUUUAGUAAUAUUUAUUUAAAUUAACAAAAUUUUCCAUAUAUAUUGUUUUCUAACAAUGAUUAUUAGGCUUAAUGGGUUUUGGAGUUUAGAGUUCGGAUUUAUCCCGACGCUUCGGUGAAAAUCCGUCCCUUACUUCAUACCCGAAAAUAUCCACCGGAAAGAGGCAACUCUUUG
rnacentral:lncRNA from 1 species